rnacentral:lncRNA from 1 species
GUUCUGCCUCCUGCCACUUUCUCAAGGCAGUACUGAAGCUGAAGGGUCCUCAGUGAUUUAUGAUGAAGCACAUAGGAGGAGUAUCAUGCAGUUAUCUGCCUGGAAGGACAGCUUGUCACAGCCCCUGCCUGUAUCUCAAUCACUGGUGAGUUUGAAGAGGCUGACCAAUGGUAUAGGGAUUUUGAAAGAAUUUUCUGCAUACAUUAAAUGACCUGUAGAGAUUUUUAUUGCUUUUCAGCUGUGUAGUAAUUGGGCAGAUCAAUACAGUUGGGAAAGGCAUUACAACAAAGGUGUGAUGACAAAAAGACUGGCACAAUAGAGAGGUGCUCUAAAGGAAAGGAAGAUUGCUCACCCAUAUCAGAAGAUUCCAGGUUUGCAGGGGAAAGCUUCACCAAGGAGGGAUCUCCAACCAGAGAUCCUUCCCUAGUGGCAGUCAACCCUUAAAUGAGGUCUAAGAGAGGUGCAGCCAGGCUCAAUGCCUUCCUGUCACUCAGGUGAAUUGCCUUCACCUGUGCUCCCAGGGCUGACCAGGUCCUUUCCCCAGGUGCUCAAUCAGUGGUUCAGGCCAUGACUCAACAGUUCCCAUACAAGCUGGAAAUUAGAAGUUUACGGGGUUGAAAUGUUAUUUUUAAUGUAGUGAGCUAUUGUGCAACAUCUUCUCCUGCUGUUUGCCCCUUGUCAUGCUCCAGAUCUCCUCUUAUACUCUUUUUGUCUGUGUCAGAAGGGUUUGCGUAUGUAAAUGAUUUGGUUUGCCUUCCUUUUUAUUUAUUUCUUUUAAUAUUUGCCAGAAUUGCUGCACGGCAAAAUUAAUACUCAACCAUCCACUUGUAGUUGGAAAAGGGUCUGAAAUACAUUUUCAGAACAGUAGUGUUUCUGUUGAGUAAAAUUUUUCUUCGAUGUGGUUCACGGAAAGCUGUUGAGUAUAGAGCCCAGUCUGGGCUGGAGGGUCCGAAGCUGAGUAGCUGUGCUGCUGUGGGCGGUGUGGAGCACUGGGGGGCAGCGUUUCACUCACUGCCAGCUUAAGGCAAGCUCUGCAUCUUGCACUCCGGUAUUUCUUUUUUAUUCGUACCCUGUGAAGUGGGGGGAGAGAGAAGAGGAGGAGCAGAGUUUGCUAUCAGAAUCGAUUACAUCUUUUACACUACUAUAUUUCUUUCAAAAAGAGGCUUUGGUCAAUCAUCAGUCUCUUUUUCUAAAUUAUUUUUGAAUUUAUAUACAGAAAAGAGGCACUUUUGCUCUCCUGCUCAUUGUCUUAAACAUUUCUAAUUAUACAUUCAUAUCUCCUUGCCCUGCUUGAACACAGCUAUUCAUACUUACAUGGAGUGUUUCUAACAAGUCACACCCUGUGGCUAGGCAAAUCAUAGAACUGUAGAGAUGGUUGAGGUUGGAAAAGAUCUUCAAGGCCAUUAAGUCCAGUUGUCAACCUGACCUACCAAAUCCUGUCUUUAAACUGCAUCUUUAAAGCCUCAGUAAAAACUGGUUUUAACCAACUGUAUUGAAGUACACAAAUUUUCAGGAAUUCCUCAUUUGGCCAUUCCUUGAAGUUACAUAUGAGAGCAGAAGAACUUGUGUUUUCUUGUGAUUCCACACCUGAAGUUUUUUAGUAACAAAGAGAUCUGAUCAUGGCAAUUAAGUAAUUGUGAGUAUUCUCUUGUUUGUCUACUGACCUGAAAUUUGUGAUGUUCAAAAUGAAACAAAGAAAAGGAGUCUAGGGCAGUAAAUUAAAUGUUCACAUGGAAUUAUUCCGUGCACAUUCUCACUGUAUCUUAUCAGACUUACUAAGUCCUGGAGAGAGUAUGUGGUUGGUAAGCAGCACAUUCAGAGAGUGUGUAGAGCUCCAUAGUGAAAAUGGCACUAACACAUUAUGUUUGAGCCUCUUCUCUGUUCACUCUCUAUAAAAAUAAAACUAAGCCUAAAAUAAAGCAUUUUUCUGCAUGAAGUGUUCCAGCUUCUAAUCAAAAACAGGAUGACAAGAUUCAUCUUUGAAAUUUGAAGUUUGUUAUACACCAAGUACUUCUGUUUCUUCCCCUCCUCCCCCCCCCCCAGGUUUUGCAAAGCCUUGUUUAAUACUGAGAUUGGUUGAAUAAGAAAACAGUCAAUUAAAAUUAUUCUAGUCAAUUAGAAAUUAAUUUUCAUAAAAAUAAGGUUUAAGACAUCAAUAUUUUGAUUAAUUGCAGAUGGAGUACUUCAAUGUCCUCCUAACAGAAGGAGAACAUACUCAUUUGUAUUUGUUGUAGCUCUUUCUGGAGCUAAUGGAAUUUCCUGUUCAUAUCACUACUCAAGUAAUCAAAUAUUGGUCAUUUUAAUGACUACUGCAGUAAUUCACCGGCUUUUCAUUUGUGAACUUUCCUCAGUGUGAUCCUUGGCAGCAGUAUAUUUUGAUGGUUUCUUAUGGUCUUUUUCACUUUGUUUUGUGUACAGUUUUUGCAUGAUAGUUCUGUGUAAUAAAUGCGUUGGUCCUUUUGGAGUGUAGGGACACUUAUGACUGAAGCCCUGUCACGCAAAGCCAAAGAGCUGGGUACAAAUAACUGGAUCUGUAUAAAUGCCAUCUCAGUUCAUUCUUACUAUGGGCCUGCUCUCGGCUUGUUCUUUCUUGAGUGUCAAGGAGGUGGAAGCAUCAUAACAGUACCAGUCUGAGGUACGUGUGCAUGUGCUAAUUCAUUUAUAUGCUUUCAUGAGCAGUGAGGGGUGUAAUAUAUUUGAAAAGAGCACAGGUCAAAUGUGGAAUAGGAGUCAACAAAAGCUGUUGACAUUGGCAGAUGAAGAGGGAAGCAGUGUUUUCAGCAUGUGCUGAUGUGCGGAGAUCCUCCUUAAGUGUACUUAUUGAUCUCACAAGUUUUGAAAGCUGCACACGGUUUUUAGCAUAUGGCACUUUGGGUCAGAGGAAUGUGUGCUCCCAGCUUUGUUCAGUUACAUUCAGUUCAGUUGUUCUACUACAUAUAUUUGCUUUCUGUGCUUUCCUCCAGAUCACUUGUAUAUAUUAAUGAAAUACUCGGUUUCUUGUUACAGAAUAUCUACUCCAGUCUGUUCAGGACAUGGAAGUUGCAC